rnacentral:rRNA from 1 species
GACGAACGCUGGCGGCGUGCUUAACACAUGCAAGUCGAACGGAAAGGCCCUGCUUUUGUGGGGUGCUCGAGUGGCGAACGGGUGAGUAACACGUGAGUAACCUGCCCUUGACUUUGGGAUAACUUCAGGAAACUGGGGCUAAUACCGGAUAGGAGCUCCUGCUGCAUGGUGGGGGUUGGAAAGUUUCGGCGGUUGGGGAUGGACUCGCGGCUUAUCAGCUUGUUGGUGGGGUAGUGGCUUACCAAGGCUUUGACGGGUAGCCGGCCUGAGAGGGUGACCGGCCACAUUGGGACUGAGAUACGGCCCAUACUCCUACGGGAGGCAGCAGUGGGGAAUAUUGCACAAUGGGCGGAAGCCUGAUGCAGCAACGCCGCGUGCGGGAUGACGGCCUUCGUGUUGUAAACCGCUUUCGCCUGUGACGAAGCGUGAGUGACGGUAAUGGGUAAAGAAGCACCGGCUAACUACGUG